rnacentral:rRNA from 1 species
GACGAACGCUGGCGGCGUGCUUAACACAUGCAAGUCGAACGAUGAAGCCGGAGCUUGCUCUGGUGAAUUAGUGGCGAACGGGUGAGUAACACGUGAGUAACCUGCCCUUGACUCUGGGAUAACUGCGGGAAACUGUAGCUAAUACCGGAUACGACCCUCGGAGGCAUCGCCAGGGGGUGGAAAGAAUUUCGGUCAAGGAUGGACUCGCGGCCUAUCAGCUAGUUGGUGAGGUAACGGCUCACCAAGGCGACGACGGGUAGCCGGCCUGAGAGGGUGACCGGCCACACUGGGACUGGGACACGGCCCAGACUCCUACGGGAGGCAGCAGUGGGGAAUAUUGCACAAUGGGCGCAAGCCUGAUGCAGCAACGCCGCGUGAGGGAUGACGGCCUUCGGGUUGUAAACCUCUUUUAGUAGGGAAGAAGCGAAAGUGACGGUACCUGCAGAAAAAGCACCGGCUAACUACGUGCCAGCCGCCGCAGUAA